GGGCGGUUAGCUCAGUUGGUUAGAGCGCUAGCUUGACAUGCUAGAGGCCACAAGUUCAAAUCUUGUACCGCCCA
rnacentral:tRNA from 1 species